GUUUACAAGUAUGGGAAACGUGCAGGUUUAAGACGAAGUGUGCAUUUGGUUAUAGGAAUUUCUUUUACCGCUUUUGGCCAUUUACCAUCUUAACUUGUUUUGUUAUAUAUAGCACUGGAUAACACAUGCAAGUUGGAUAAAAACGAUACUGAAGAGGAUCCAACCAGCUAUUCUCAAGAAAAUGCUGUUUUAGUUUUUCUUUUGUCUAUUUUUGUAAAUUUAAAUAAAAAUUAUGUUGAUUUA